rnacentral:rRNA from 1 species
CCCUUAGAUGUUCUGGGCCGCACGCGCGCUACACUGACGAUGGCAACGAGUUUUUCCUUCGCCGAAAGGUGUGGGUAAUCUUUUGAAACAUCGUCGUGCUGGGGAUAGAUCAUGGCAAUUUUUGAUCUUGAACGAGGAAUUCCUAGUAAGCGCGAGUCAUCAGCUCGCGUUGAUUACGUCCCUGCCCUUUGUACACACCGCCCGUCGCUACUACCGAUUGAAUGGUUUAGUGAGGACUCCUGAUUGGCGCCGCCGCCCCGGCAACGGAGCAGCGGACUGCCGAAAAGUUGUUCAAACUUGAUCAUUUAGAGGAAGUAAAAGUCGUAACA